UACGUAGGUUGCAAGCGUUAUCCGGAAUUAUUGGGCGUAAAGCGCGCGCAGGUGGUUUCUUAAGUCUGAUGUGAAAGCCCACGGCUCAACCGUGGAGGGUCAUUGGAAACUGGGAGACUUGAGUGCAGAAGAGGAAAGUGGAAUUCCAUGUGUAGCGGUGAAAUGCGUAGAGAUAUGGAGGAACACCAGUGGCGAAGGCGACUUUCUGGGCUGUAACUGACACUGAGGCGCGAAAGCGUGGGGAGCAAACAGG
rnacentral:rRNA from 1 species